rnacentral:lncRNA from 1 species
CAUAGAUAAAAACUGUUCAUCUCUAAGAUUGAACCUGAACCUCAUAUGUAGUGUUAGCUAGACAUAGUCAACUCUUCAAUUCUGUUUGACCCAUAAUUUAAUUCUUAAUCAAGUUAGUUUAUAUGUUUAAUCAAGUCAAAUGCUUUCAAAUUGAAUGUAUAAACAUAGACCAAUACUUUUUUAUAUCGCUUGAUUUAUGUACGUAACUCUUUUGGUUCGAACACUA